AAUAGAUACCCCGGUAGUCCACGCCGUAAACGAUGAGUGCUAAGUGUUAGAGGGUUUCCGCCCUUUAGUGCUGCAGCUAACGCAUUAAGCACUCCGCCUGGGGAGUACGGUCGCAAGACUGAAACUCAAAGGAAUUGACGGGGGCCCGCACAAGCGGUGGAGCAUGUGGUUUAAUUCGAAGCAACGCGAAGAACCUUACCAGGUCUUGACAUCCUCUGACAACUCUAGAGAUAGAGCGUUCCCCUUCGGGGGACAGAGUGACAGGUGGUGCAUGGUUGUCGUCAGCUCGUGUCGUGAGAUGUUGGGUUAAGUCCCGCAACGAGCGCAACCCUUGAUCUUAGUUGCCAGCAUUUAGUUGGGCACUCUAAGGUGACUGCCGGUGACAAACCGGAGGAAGGUGGGGAUGACGUCAAAUCAUCAUGCCCCUUAUGACCUGAGCUACACACGUGCUACAAUGGAUGGUACAAAGGGCUGCAAGACCGCGAGGUCAAGCCAAUCCCAUAAAACCAUUCUCAGUUCGGAUUGU
rnacentral:rRNA from 1 species